AUCUUAUUCGGAGCAUUCCAGUAACUUUUGGGUAUGUACCUAGCUGUACUAUAAGUAGCUGGUUUGUAUGAGAUGGUUAAAAA
ensembl:miRNA Gm24588 predicted gene, 24588